rnacentral:rRNA from 1 species
UACGAAGGGGGCUAGCGUUGUUCGGAAUUACUGGGCGUAAAGCGCACGUAGGCGGAUCGUUAAGUCGGGGGUGAAAUCCUGGAGCUCAACUCCAGAACUGCCUUCGAUACUGGCGAUCUUGAGUCCGGAAGAGGCGAGUGGAAUUCCUGGUGUAGCGGUGAAAUUCGUAGAUAUCGGGAGGAACACCAGUGGCGAAGGCGGCGACCUGGGCAGAUACUGACACUGAGGUGCGAAAGCGUGGGGAGCAAACAGG